CGCAAAACUGUGUGUUUUGAUGUACAUGUGACUAGUAAAGAAAUCUUAAUCUUCAAGUGGGAUGGAAUUAAAAUAAAGAUCUCACUGAAUAGCAGAACAGACAGAAGCACUGAAUAGCAUACUCCCUUGUUCCUACAGGGCUGGAAGUAUGGUUGCAUUCAAGAUAGCUUCUGAAAUUCAUGUGGGGUGAACGGUAUCAAUCAACCUUCAAUCCCCAGUCUGCAUUAUUCUAGAAUGUACACAAGCACAUAAUGCUUUUGGAAAAGAUAACACUGAAGCCACUAAUUAUCCUGUCGACACAUCUCAUUGGCAGCUGCUUGACUCUGAGGAAAUAGCAUAAUUUGCCAGGACAGUAGGAUCCAUGGCCAGUUAUUUCAAUUUUACCACUCAUCUACAUACCAGGGACAAUUUACUACAGAGGCUGAUCAACUUACCAACUCGCACAUCUUUGGGAUGUGGGAGAAAACUGGAGCUCUCGGUGGAAGCCCAUGCAGUUAUAGGGAGAAUGUGCAAACCCCACACGAGCAGAACCCGAGGUCAGCAUUGAAACUGGAGCUGUGAGCCAGUGCCCCUAAUGGCUGUACCAUUGCACUGCACUGGAUUGAAAAACAAUGAACUGCAGACAUUGGAAAUUUGAAUAGAAACAUAAAAUACUGGAACCACGCAGAAUGCUAGGGAGCACCUGUGGAAAGCGAAACAGAGCUAAUAUUUCAAUUAAGAACCCUUUAUCAGAAUGGUGCUGGUUUUGCCAGAAAUAAUAGAGGUGAGCUAAUUAUUGUGUGCUGAAAUUAUGUACAGAUAAUGCAUAUUUUUGGAUGCAGGAUAGAUAUCCCAGCCAAGAAAUUCAUCUGCACAAUGGGAAAAAAAAGUGCAGUAAAAUUAAAAAUUGUGUUACUGUUGCAAUAAGCAAUUAAUGCAUGUUUCUUUAUGUCUUGGUGUCGGUCAUUAUCAUCAUACUUUCACUUAUGAACAAGAGUUUUGCAUUCACUAAUGGUGUUUCUUCAGCAUCAAACUUGUCCAGUGCCGUGAGCCCAAGAUUUGCCAUCAGUGAGAUUUUCAGCCGUGUUGGUCUG